rnacentral:rRNA from 1 species
AUUGAACGCUGGCGGCAUGCCUUACACAUGCAAGUCGAACGGCAGCACGGGAGCAAUCCUGGUGGCGAGUGGCGAACGGGUGAGUAAAGUAUCGGAACGUGCCCAGUCGUGGGGGAUAACGUAGCGAAAGUUACGCUAAUACCGCAUACGAUCUAUGGAUGAGAGCGGGGGAUCGCAAGACCUCGCCCGAUUGGAGCGGCCGAUAUCAGAUUAGGUAGUUGGUGGGGUAAAGGGUCACCAAGCCGACGAUCUGUAGCUGUUCUGAGAGGACGACCAGCCACACUGGGACUGAGACACGGCCCAGACUCAUACGGGAGGCAGCAGUGGGGAAUUUUGGACAAUGGGCGAAAGCCUGAUCCAGCCAUGCCGCGUGCAGGAUGAAGGCCUUCGGGUUGUAAACUGCUUUUGUACGGAACGAAAAGGUUUGGCCUAAUAAGCUGAGCUCAUGACGGUACCGUAAGAAUAAGCACCGGCUAACGAAGGGCCAGCAGCCGCCGUAA